GCUGAAACACCGGUUCUCAUCGUAGUUAAGCAACGUCGAGCCUGGUCAGUACCUGGAUGGGUGACCGUUUGGGAAGACCAGGUGUUGUAAA